rnacentral:rRNA from 1 species
GACGAACGCUGGCGGCGUGCUUAACACAUGCAAGUCGAACGGAAAGGCCCUGCUUUUGUGGGGUGCUCGAGUGGCGAACGGGUGAGUAACACGUGAGUAACCUGCACUUGACUUUGGGAUAACUUCAGGAAAAUGGGGCUAAUACCGGAUAGGAGAUCCUGAUGCAUGGUGGGGGUUGGAAAGAUUCGGCGGUUGGGGCUGGAAUAGCGGCUUAUCAGCUUGUUGGUGGGGUUGUGGCUUACAAAGGCUUUGACGGGUAGCCGGCCUGAGAGGGUGACCGGCCACAUUGGGACUGCGAUACGGACCAGACUCCUACGUGAGGCAGCAGUGGGGAAUAUUGCACAAUGGGCGGAAGCCUGAGGCAGCAACGCCGCGUGCGGGAUGACGGCCUUCGGGUUGUAAACCGCUUUCGCCGGUGACGAAGCGUGAGUGACGGUAAUGGGUAAAGAAGCACCGGCUAACUACGUG